UUCGGCCAUAUCACGUUUAUACACCGGUUCCCGUACGAUCACCGACAUUAAACAACGUUGAGACUAGUCAGUACAUAGGCGGGUUACCUCUUCGGAAUACCAGGUGCUGCAA